CGUGUUACACACUGGAAAACUAGCGGCCGGGCACGAGCGCACACGCCGCGCGAACCCGCGUACAACACGAACAAGGAAACAGAUGACGGACGAGGGAAGAGGCGAAUGGCGAGAAUGACGAAGAAAUCGGCUGGCUCGUCCACAGAAAUUGAUUACAAUGUUACAGUCAUUUUGGUGCACUCCUCUCGCAACUACCACUGUUAUAAAGCUUCCACGAUCAAUCAUAGUGCGCUCUGAAAGGCAACAAGACAUUAAUAACACGCUUGGAUCGUUUCCACGAGAUCUCCUCGUAUAUAUUAUUCGCAUUCUUAACAACCGAAGGAAGGAACAAACUGUAACAUUUACAAUUACAAGUACCUAAAUCUUCCGAACUAAGGCAAAUUCCCAAAGCACAAGGAUUCCGAGCUACGUGCACCUCGAGCAGAGUCGUGACUGAACCGAAAUUCCAGAAGAACGUUGCCAGCGCGAGGAACGAGGCAAGUAGAAUUAAUCUAAAUUAAGUAAUCGUCGGUGUCUCGGGCCAGCAAAGGACUCGAUGCUUAAAUAAAAAUAAG